CAUUAUUAAUAUAGGUUUUAAAUGUGAUGAAAAGUUGUGUUAAUGGUGCCAGAGGCUCUCACAUGCCUGGCCACUUGAUCCGGGACAUUUUAUAUUUUGACUCCUCCAUUCUUAGUAGCUUAUGUCGGCUUUUGUAUAUAUCAGAACAAGCAUUGGAGAAAUCAAGUUUAAGCGCUUGGUAUGGCUUGAAGGAAGCUGAAGACUUGCAAGAGGUUUCCUGCUCUGUAUUG